UGGCUCGUCAGAAUGAAGAAUUUAUGGCUCGUCAAAUGGCGUUUUCCAACAAUACAACUCCGCAAUGCUCGCUCAAAAUCCGAACUUGCGCUUACCGGAGUUUCCGCCAAUCUUCAACAACGAUGCAGCGCAGAACAUUUAUACUCCUGGAGCGUCAUCUUCUAGAGCCGCCGCACCGCCUACUCAACUACCAACGCAAGAAACUACGACGCCUCUACAAACUACGCCACAAGAGGAGCACACCACUUCACAACCGCGCGGAG
rnacentral:lncRNA from 1 species